UAUGCGUUGUUGGGUAGGGGAGCGUUCUGUAAGCCUGUGAAGGUGUACUGUGAGGUAUGCUGGAGGUAUCAGAAGUGCGAAUGCUGACAUAAGUAACGAUAAAGCGGGUGAAAAGCCCGCUCGCCGGAAGACCAAGGGUUCCUGUCCAACGUUAAUCGGGGCAGGGUGAGUCGACCCCUAAGGCGAGGCCGAAAGGCGUAGUCGAUGGGAAACAGGUUAAUAUUCCUGUACUUGGUGUUACUGCGAAGGGGGGACGGAGAAGGCUAUGUUGGCCGGGCGACGGUUGUCCCGGUUUAAGCGUGUAGGCUGGUUUUCCAGGCAAAUCCGGAAAAUCAAGGCUGAGGCGUGAUGACGAGGCACUACGGUGCUGAAGCAACAAAUGCCCUGCUUCCAGGAAAAGCCUCUAAGCAUCAGGUAACAUCAAAUCGUACCCCAAACCGACACAGGUGGUCAGGUAGAGAAUACCAAGGCGCUUGAGAGAACUCGGGUGAAGGAACUAGGCAAAAUGGUGCCGUAACUUCGGGAGAAGGCACGCUGAUAUGUAGGUGAAGUCCCUCGCGGAUGGAGCUGAAAUCAGUCGAAGA
rnacentral:rRNA from 1 species